GCCGGAGUAGCUCCAAUCGGUAGAGCAGCGCAUUCGUAAUGCGACGGUUGAAGGUUCGAAUCCUUUCUCCGGCACCA
rnacentral:tRNA from 1 species